rnacentral:lncRNA from 1 species
ACAGUGGACCAGGCUUCUGAUGGAACUAUUACAAGCAUGAAGAAGAGGUGGUGAGAUGGUCCUGCUGACCCCAGGGCAGAUGGCAUUGACAAAGCUGUAUGUGGAAGGGCUUAAGGCAUACCUGGGAAGAAUGAUACAUGAAAAUGAAGGCAGGAGAUCAGUUGACAGGUCUAUGGACCAAAGAAUAGCAAGGAUUAUCAACAAGUUCCCAGAAGCCAGAGAGAAUCAGAGAAACAUCUGACUCUGUCCCCAGAAGCAUUCAACACCACUAAACAUGAUCUAGGACUUACUACAUCAGAAAUGAAAGACAACUUUCUGUUGUUUAAGACAUUCAACCUGUGGUCCUUGUUAUAGCCGUCACAACAAUAAAUACAAGUUAAAAUAUGCUGGGAAGAAACGUGAGAAGAAAACCUUGAAAUAAGCAAAGCUCUGUGUGGGCUCCAGGCAUCAAACAUGGGUCAUCAACUUUGUAUGGCAAGUGCCUUUAGUCCGGGCCUCAGACUUCCUUUACACACAAUGCAAGGUCUUCGGGAUUCCAGUGUCUACUGAAGACCAGCCGAGAUGCCCAUCUUCAUGAACUGAAAAACUACUGGAUUCCUGGACCAGUAGACAGCCAUUGUUGGGCUAGCUAGACCACAGCCUGGAAGACACUCUAAUAAAUCCCCCUUUUAUGUCUCUGAA